CCUCAGCACCCUUGUUAACCGGGCGUCCCCUUCAGCACGCCCUGUUAAUGAGGACUCCCCAUCAGCACCCCGGUUAACGGGGACUCCCCCUCAGCACCCUCUGUCGACGAGGUCCCCCUCAGCAUCUCUUAACGAGGGGUCCCCCUUUGGCAGCCCCUGUUAACGAAGAAUCCCCCUCAGCCCCCCCCGUUACCGAGUGUCCCACUCAGCCCCUGUUCCGGGGGUGUCCCUCGCCCCGCGGGGCCGGCCUGAGGCGGGCGGUGCUCGGGAGCGGCGUCUCCUCCCUCAGAGCGGGCGGUUCUGCUUCACCUUAAACCGUAUUUAUUUCAGUAGUUCCAGCGUUGUGUUGGAGUUUCUUUGCCGUGUCCAUUAAGCGUUUUAAGAACAACAACAGGAGUUGGUAGUCUGUCAGGGUUUCAUAAGAACUAAACGUUCUUAGCCGCCUGCUGUAAUAAUGGUAGAAAUACGACCAGGUCGAGAGAUUAUUUAACAUUUUUGACUAAAGGGAACUUUUGUUCCUUGUAUUUAAUGACAGAUAUGUGGCUAUGUAUAUUCCCAUUAUGUUUGUGGGAAUGUUCAGGCGGAAGCUGAGCAUUUGUUUUGUUUUAUUUUUAUAAAAGCUUUGCCCUGCAAAUAGUGGCAGCAUUUUUUUUCUCAGGGAGAAUCCAUGCAUGGAAAAUUGGAGACAUUGAGACAAAACGGCAAAUUUAAAGAACUAUUGCACAAGUUGUAAAUACAACGUUCACCAAGACGAAAACAAAAAGAGGGAGGACAGAAAUGGGAAAGUAAUGGCAUUAAGUAGCCUAAAGGAGGUAUUGUGAAUUUUGUGGUGUAUUGAAAACACACACAAACUAACCCUUGCUCAUAUAGAACCAAACAUCACAGUCCAAACUUUUCACAGGACUUUACACAGAAACAUAAUAGUGAACCUGAAUAUGAGCAGGUAAUUAUUCCUCCUGACCUCAAGCUCUGUAUGCAGUUAAUGUUGUCCUGAAUGAAUUAAUGUAAUAAGAGUUCAAACAAUUCCAUUUUUAAAUGUAUUAUUUUUCAGGGGGAAUAUUUUAAUCAUGCAGAAAAGAUCAGUGUAUUUUUUGCUUUCCAAAUGACAGAAAGAACCCAAACAACAAAGAAGAUGGCUAGUGAGUUCUUCAGCCUGGUGCUGGGAAGUUGAGGACAACAGGGGCCCUCCACCUGCACCUCUGCUUAAGGAAAACCAGUAGAAGAGGCGUUUUUGGAGUCAGCAGCAGAAACACAAACCAGCUGGGC